GACGAACGCUGGCGGCGUGCUUAACACAUGCAAGUCGCACGAAGUGGCGAACGGGUGAGUAACGCGUAAUCAACCUGCCCUUCAGCGGGGGACAACAGUUGGAAAAGACUGCUAAUACCGCAUACUGAAGGAGGGGAUUGCGUUUGAUUAGCUAGUUGGAGGGGUAACGUCCCACCAAGGCGAGGAUCAGUAGCGGGUCUGAGAUGAUGAACUGCCAAAUUGGGAGUGAGACACGGCCCAGACUCCUACGGGAGGCAGCAGUGGGGAAUCGUCCGCAAUGGACGAAAGUCUGACGGAUCAACGCCGCGUGAGUGAUGACGGCCUGCGGGUUGUAAAGCUCUGUUAAUCGGGACGCGGUACCGGAAUAGAAAGCCACGGCUAACUACGUGCCAGCCGCCGCGGUAAUUC
rnacentral:rRNA from 1 species